UACGAAGGGGGCUAGCGUUGCUCGGAAUCACUGGGCGUAAAGCGCACGUAGGCGGACUCUUAAGUCGGUGGUGAAAUCCUGGAGCUCAACUCCAGAACUGCCUUCGAUACUGAGAGUCUCGAGUCCGAGAGAGGUGAGUGGAACUGCGAGUGUAGAGGUGAAAUUCGUAGAUAUUCGCAAGAACACCAGUGGCGAAGGCGGCUCACUGGCGCGGUACUGACGCUGAGGUGCGAAAGCGUGGGGAGCGAACAGG
rnacentral:rRNA from 1 species